GACGUAGGGGGCGAGCGUUGUCCGGAUUCAUUGGGCGUAAAGCGCGCGCAGGCGGCUCGGAUAGUCGGGUGUGAAAACCCGGGGCUCAACCCCGGGCCUGCAUUCGAUACUGCCGGGCUAGAGGCAGGUAGGGGAGAGUGGAAUUCCUGGUGUAGCGGUGAAAUGCGCAGAUAUCAGGAGGAACACCGGUGGCGAAGGCGGCUCUCUGGACCUGUCCUGACGCUCAAGCGCGAAAGCUAGGGGAGCAAACAGG
rnacentral:rRNA from 1 species